rnacentral:rRNA from 1 species
AGUGAACGCUGGCGGUAGGCCUAACACAUGCAAGUCGAACGGCAGCACAGUAAGAGCUUGCUCUUACGGGUGGCGAGUGGCGGACGGGUGAGGAAUACAUCGGAAUCUACUUUUUCGUGGGGGAUAACGUAGGGAAACUUACGCUAAUACCGCAUACGACCUACGGGUGAAAGCAGGGGGUCUUCGGACCUUGCGCGAUUGAAUGAGCCGAUGUCGGAUUAGCUAGUUGGCGGGGUAAAGGCCCACCAAGGCGACGAUCCGUAGCUGGUCUGAGAGGAUGAUCAGCCACACUGGAACUGAGACACGGUCCAGACUCCUACGGGAGGCAGCAGUGGGGAAUAUUGGACAAUGGGCGCAAGCCUGAUCCAGCCAUGCCGCGUGGGUGAAGAAGGCCUUCGGGUUGUAAAGCCCUUUUGUUGGGAAAGAAAAGCAGCAGGUUAAUACCCCGCUGUUCUGACGGUACCCAAAGAAUAAGCACCGGCUAACUUCGUG